rnacentral:rRNA from 1 species
UCGUAACAAGGUCUCCGUUGGUGAACCAGCGGAGGGAUCAUUACUGAGUUUACGCUCUACAACCCUUUGUGAACAUACCUAUAACUGUUGCUUCGGCGGGUAGGGUCUCCGUGACCCUCCCGGCCUCCCGCCCCCGGGCGGGUCGGCGCCCGCCGGAGGAUAACCAAACUCUGAUUUAACGACGUUUCUUCUGAGUGGUACAAGCAAAUAAUCAAAACUUUUAACAACGGAUCUCUUGGUUCUGGCAUCGAUGAAGAACGCAGCGAAAUGCGAUAAGUAAUGUGAAUUGCAGAAUUCAGUGAAUCAUCGAAUCUUUGAACGCACAUUGCGCCCGCCAGCAUUCUGGCGGGCAUGCCUGUUCGAGCGUCAUUUCAACCCUCAAGCUCUGCUUGGUGUUGGGGCCCUACAGCUGAUGUAGGCCCUCAAAGGUAGUGGCGGACCCUCUCGGAGCCUCCUUUGCGUAGUAACUUUACGUCUCGCACUGGGAUCCGGAGGGACUCUUGCCGUAAAACCCCCAAUUUUCCAAAGGUUGACCUCGGAUCAGGUAGGAAUACCCGCUGAACUUAAGCAUAUCAAUA